UACGAAGGGGGCAAGCGUUGUUCGGAAUUACUGGGCGUAAAGGGCGCGUAGGCGGCUCAUACAGUCAGGCGUGAAAUUCCUGGGCUCAACCUGGGGACUGCGCUUGAGACGUGUGGGCUUGAGUGGGGAAGAGGGUCGUGGAAUUCCCAGUGUAGAGGUGAAAUUCGUAGAUAUUGGGAAGAACACCGGUGGCGAAGGCGGCGACCUGGACGGACAUUGACGCUGAGACGCGAAAGCGUGGGGAGCAAACAGG
rnacentral:rRNA from 1 species